rnacentral:lncRNA from 1 species
AUGCUGCCCAAACCUGGGACUUAUUCCCUCCACUGGGAGGUCAGUACAAGCCAAGUUCCUGGUGGGGUCACACUGAGAACAUUUGGCAGGUUGUGCCUCUAUGACGUGACGUGAUCAGUCCGGAGUGACGCUGAUGGCUCAUCAUGGAUCUGAUCGGCACCAGGUUCUUGUCUGUACCAAGUUGGUGAAGCCCUUCCAAGCCCAGGUGGGCUCCCUGUACAUUGUCCUCGGGGGGCUCCAGGACCAGCAGCACGGAGGCUCCAUGAUAAAGGCAUUGGUGCUGAACUGUGUGGAAGGGAUGGAUCUGCCCUUGUGAGAACAAGCCAAGCGGGAGCAGAGGCAGUACCAGCGUGUGAGGGACGGCGGCCAGUACGACGUGCAGCCCAGUAACACCCCCUACCUGCUUCUGAGGCCAAAGCCUCCCAAGCUACGGGAGCGCCCCAGAGCAUAAGCGCUUCCCCAGCGACUGCCUUGUCUGGACCCUGAAAGCAGAGGGGCAGGCGGUUAAUCCAGCCCCUUCCCCUAAUUUG